GACGAACGCUGGCGGCGUGCUUAACACAUGCAAGUCGAACGGAAAGGCCUGCUUUCCCUUGUGGAUUGCGGGUACUCGAGUGGCUAACGGGUGAGUAACACGUGAGUGAUCUGCCCCCAACUUGGGUAUAAGCCUGGGAAACUGGGUCUAAUUCCCGAUAGGACUGCAGGGUGGUGCCUGUGGUGGAAAACGAUUUUCUAGUGGUUGGGGAUGAGCUCGCGGCCUAUCAGCUUGUUGGUGGGGUAAUGGCCUACCAAGGCGGCGACGGGUAGCCGGCCUGGGAGCGUGGACGGCGACAUUGGGACUGAGAUCCGGCCCAGACGCCUACGGGAGGCAGCAGUGGGGAAUAUAGCACAAUGGGCGGAAGCCUGAUGCAGCGACGCAGCGUGGGGGAUGACGGCCUUCGGGUAGUAAACUCCUUGCGACCGCGAGGAAGCCACCUGGUUGGAAGGGUGGUGACGGUAGUGGUAGAAGAAGCACCGGCUAACUACGUG
rnacentral:rRNA from 1 species